rnacentral:rRNA from 1 species
UCGCCUGUUUAUCAAAAACAUCGCCUCUUGCUAAAACCAAAAGUAUUAGAGGUCCCGCCUGCCCAGUGACCCACCCGUUCAACGGCCGCGGUAUUUUGACCGUGCAAAGGUAGCGUAAUCACUUGUCUCUUAAAUAGAGACCCGUAUGAAUGGCAUAACGAGGGUUUAACUGUCUCCUCCUCCCAGUCAAUGAAAUUGAUCUAUCCGUGCAGAAGCGGAUAUAAAAACAUAAGACGAGAAGACCCUAUGGAGCUUUAGACAAAAGACAAAACAAGUAAACAACACUCGAUAAAUCCAAACAAGAACAACAAAAGUAGUAAGCCUAUGAUUAAAUGAUCUAAAGUCUUCGAUUGGGGCGAUCAUGGGGGAAAAGAAAACCCCCACGUGGUACGGGAACACCCUUAAGACUAGAGGGACACCUCAAAAUCCCAGAAUAUCUGACCAAAAAUGACCCAGAAUAAUCUGAUCAACGAACCAAGUUACCCUAGGGAUAACAGCGCAAUCCUUUUCCAGAGUUCAUAUCGACGAAAGGGUUUACGACCUCGAUGUUGGAUCAGGACAUCCUAAUGGUGCAGCCGCUAUUAAGGGUUCGUUUGUUCAACGAUUAACAGUCCUACGUGAUCUGAGUUCAGACCGG